rnacentral:rRNA from 1 species
UACGUAGGGGGCGAGCGUUGUCCGGAUUUAUUGGGCGUAAAGAGCUCGUAGGCGGUUUGGCAAGUCGGGUGUGAAAACUCCGGGCUCAACUCGGAGACGCCACUCGAUACUGCUAUGACUCGAGUCCGGUAGGGGAGUGCGGAAUUCCUGGUGUAGCGGUGAAAUUCGUAGAUAUCGAGAGGAACACCGGUGGCGAAGGCGGCCAACUGGACGAAGACUGACGCUGAGACACGAAAGCGUGGGGAGCAAACAGG